UUCCACAGCUACUGGUCUGCAGCUGUUCUGCUGGUGGCAGUUGUGGCAUUCCUCCAUGGGAAAGGAAUUGUUAUAUGAUUAAACACCUCUUUCUUAGCAAAACAAAGUUUGCAUGUGUGUUACAAACACAA